GACGAACGCUGGCGGCGUGCCUAAUACAUGCAAGUCGAGCGGACUUUCAAGAAGCUUGCUUUUUGAAAGUUAGCGGCGGACGGGUGAGUAACACGUGGGCAACCUGCCUGCAAGACGGGGAUAACUCCGGGAAACCGGGGCUAAUACCGGAUAAUAUCUUCCUUCGCAUGAAGGAAGGUUGAAAGGCGGCGCAAGCUGCCGCUUGCAGAUGGGCCCGCGGCGCAUUAGCUAGUUGGUGAGGUAACGGCUCACCAAGGCGACGAUGCGUAGCCGACCUGAGAGGGUGAGCGGCCACACUGGGACUGAGACACGGCCCAGACUCCUACGGGAGGCAGCAGUAGGGAAUCUUCCGCAAUGGACGAAAGUCUGACGGAGCAACGCCGCGUGAGCGAAGAAGGUCUUCGGAUCGGAAAGCUCGGUUGUCAGGGAAGAACAAGUACCGUUCGAACAGGGCGGUACCUUGACGGUACCUGACCAGAAAGCCACGGCUAACUACGUG
rnacentral:rRNA from 1 species